UGGAGCAGUUCGGUAGCUCGUCGGGCUCAUAGCCCGAAGGUCGCAGUUUCAAAUCCUGGCCCCGAAACCA
rnacentral:tRNA from 1 species